rnacentral:lncRNA from 1 species
ACCACCUCCAUCCGCACCGAAACGAUGGGCAGGCGACCCUUCUGCAGCAGUCGCUGAAGCGCCUCUGCCACCUGCUCCUGCGUACUGCUGGUGGUCGACCCCGUCGCCCGCUUGGCAGAUACCGCCGCCUCCAUCGCGGCUAGCAGGUCGGGGCUGCGGGCAAGAGCCUCCGCCACCUCGCCGCCCAGCUCAUGUUGCGCCUGCCAGAGCUGACGCAACUCCUCGGUCUGAAACUCCUCACGGCGCCGCACGGCCUCACGGACAAGCGCCGGGGCCAGCGCAGAGGCAGCCGGGCUAGCAGGGACACCGCCGCCUGCCAGCACCGCCAGCGCCCACAGGCUGUUGCAAAGGGCCUGUGCAACGAGCGACUCCGGCUCUCGCUGCAGCAGCUCGCCCAGCCGGCCGCACACCGCCGCCUCCAAGCCGGCGUUACGCAGCUGCAGCACCGCCAGCGCCCACAGCGUGUUUGCACACUCCUGUGCUUUGCCUCGCUGCAUCGCCGCUGCCGCGCCUGCGUCAAGCAGCGCGGGCGGCGGCUGGUGGCGCACCAAUGCCAGCGCGUACAGCAGGUUGGCCCAAUGCUGCGGCUUGGCGCUGGCCAUGACCCCGGGCCGCUGAGCUGCUGCCACCGCGGCCGCGUACCAGGGGCACUGCUCCAUGGCUUUCGGCGUUGCACCGGCCCCAUACCCCAUCUUGGCCAGGGCCCACGCCGAGUUGCUGAGCUCCUGUGGGUUACAGCCGGCAAAGCCCCGCCGCAUGGCCUCCACUGCUACUGCAGCCGCCAGCCGCUCGGACUGCUUGCCUCCCAGCUGCAGCCCCUCCAGCGCCAGCAGGAUGUUGGACAGGUGCUGCGGCUUGAAUGCUUCAGCUUCCUUCGGUGUUCGCAGCUGCCGCAGCGCCGCACCGUACAGCGUCUCCAGCCCUGCCCGAAAUGCCGGUCCGGUGCAGCCAAGGACCUCUAGCGCCCACAGGCUGUUGGCCAGGCCUUGCGCAUUCAUGUCCGGGGCAAGGGCUGCGGCCGCCUCCGCCAACGGCCGCAGAAGGUCUGAGUCGCGGUACCCCAGCUUGGCACACGCCCACAGGCUGUUAGAAACGUCCUGGGCAUUGAAGCCGUGCCCCCUCGCCGCACGCAGCCGCGAGGCCACAGCGCUCGCCAGCGCUUUCAGAUGCGGCGAUGAGGUGGGAUCCCAGCCCGAGCCCCGCCGCUGCUGAUCCUCCCGCAGCUUGCCCAGGGCAUACAGUGCGUUCGCCAGGUCUAUAGGAAUGGCACUGUCCAGCAACACUGGAUCCACCAGCCGCUGCAGCAGUGCCGGCGCCAGCUGUGACUCCACACGCCCGUCGCUGGCAGCCCCGGCCUUCGCCAGAGCCCACAGCGGAAGGCUGCAGCUGGCCGGCUGGCGGAUGCGCGGCACGAGCGGAAGGAGAGCAGGCGCAAGGGCCGCAAUGAUGCCGGCGCGGGCCGCGGCUGUGGCGGUGGGCCCGCCGGCGCGUGCGGGCUCCAGCUGCAGGGGGGGCGGGGGGGGGGGGGGGGGCAGUGGGAAAGGACGAUGCCCCGAUCACUCACUGUGGCGGUGAAAAGCAAGCUUGGAUCAGCCCCACCGUCAUCAUGCAACGCGUCCCUAAGCACUACCGCGCGAGCUUUGGUAAGUGCUAAGGAGGUGCGUGUGUUGUUGGCGUUGUCAGUGCCCGCACUGCAAUGCAGGAAGGCCCGCACGUGCUUGCAGGCAAGCCCGACCCCUGCCCCUGCCCCUCCUCCUGUCAUUGCCCGCUAGCUAGUCCAGCCUCUUACCUUGCCACAACGGCCGAAGGCAGCUGACAUGGCGAUCACGUCUUGCCGCUCGCACCACACCGCCAGCCGCUGAUCAAUGACUCCUUGCAGCUGCUCCAGAGUCCGACACACGGUCAUGUCAUCCGCGGGGUCACGCGCCCUUCUUCCGCCGCCACUCCUGUCACCGGCACCGCCCGUCCUGCCGCCAGCCCAACGGCCUCCGCCUGCCCUACCUCCGCCUGCCCUCCCCCCAGCGUCACUGCUACUGCGGCUGCUGCCGAUGCCGCCAUGUCCGCUGCUGCUGCUCCUGUCUAUGCUCCUGUGACUGGUGCCGCCACUGCCGUACCUCCCCCCAGCCGCCAGCACCUGCUGCUGCGCGCGCCGCCCCGGCUGUAGGAGACAGCUGCGCGCCCCGGCUGCUGCAGGUGCGGCAGGGGCGGGCGCUGGUGCAGCUUGACGGGCCCAGGCGGCUAGCGGCAGUAGCUGCCGCAGACCGCCGCCAGCCCCGGUGGCAGCAGGUGCGGUGGCGGGAAGGAGGGGGCCGCCUUCGCUGAGCACUGCCGCCGCCGGGCCGCUGGUUGCGGAGCUGCACGCCAGGCCGCGGGCCACACCGCCGGCGGUCGCCGAGGGGNNNNNNNNNNNNNNNNNNNNNNNNNNNNNNNNNNNNNNNNNNNNNNNNNNNNNNNNNNNNNNNNNNNNNNNNNNNNNNNNNNNNNNNNNNNNNNNNNNNNAGCCCCGCCGCAUGGCCUCCACUGCUACUGCAGCCGCCAGCCGCUCGGACUGCUUGCCUCCCGAGCGGCAGCCCCUCCAGCGCCAGCAGGAUGUUGGACAGGUGCUGCGGCUUGAAUGCUUCAGCUUCCUUCGGUGUUCGCAGCUGCCGCAGCGCCGCACCACACAGCGUCUCCAGCACUGCCCGAAACGCCGGUCCGGUGCAGCCAAGGACCUCUAGCGCCCACAGGCUGUUGGCCAGGCCUUGCGCAUUCAUGUCCGGGGCAAGGGCUGCGGCCGCCUCCGCCAACGGCCGCAGAAGGUCUGAGUCGCGGUACCCCAGCUUGGCGCACGCCCACAGGCUGUUAGAAACAUGUUGCGGCUCAAAGCCAUGCCCGCUCGCCGCGCGCAGCCACGAGGCCACAGCGCUCGCCAGUGCGUUCAGGUGCGGCGAUGAGGUGGGGUCCCAGCCCGAGCCCCGCUGCUGCUGGUCCUCCCGCAGCUUGCCCAGGGCAUACAGUGCGUUCGCCAGGGCCUGGGGAGUGGCACUGUCCAGCAACACUGGAUCCACCAGCCGCUGCAGCAGUGCCGGCGCCAGCUCUGACUCCACACGCCCGUCGAUGGCAGCCCCGGCCUUCGCCAGUGCCCACAGCGGAAGGCUGCAGCCGGCCGGCUGGCGGAUGCGCGGCACGAGCGGAAGGAGAGCAGGCGCAAGGGCCGCAAUGAUGCCAGCACGGGCCGCGGCUGUGGCGGCGGGCCCGCUGGCGUGUGCGGACUCCAGCUGCAGGGGAGGGAGGGGGCCGGUGGGAAAGGACGAUACCUCGAUCACUCACUGUGGCGGUGAAAAGGAAGCUUGGAUCAGCCCCAUCGUCAUCAUGCAACGCGUCCCUAAGCACUACCGCGCGAGCUUGGUAAGUGCUAAGGAGGUGCGUGUGUUGUUGGCGUUGUCAGUGCCCGCACUGCAAUGCAGGAAGGCCCGCACGUGCUUGCAGGCAAGCCCGACCCCUGCCCCUGCCCCUCCUCCUGUCAUUGCCCGCUAGCUAGUCCAGCCUCUUACCUUGCCACAACGGCCGAAGGCAGCUGACAUGGCGAUCACGUCUUGCCGCUCGCACCACACCGCCAGCCGCUGAUCAAUGACUCCUUGCAGCUGCUCCAGAGUCCGACACACGGUCAUGUCAUCCGCGGGGUCACGCGCCCUUCUUCCGCCGCCACUCCUGUCACCGGCACCGCCCGUCCUGCCGCCAGCCCAACGGCCUCCGCCUGCCCUACCUCCGCCUGCCCUCCCCCCAGCGUCACUGCUACUGCGGCUGCUGCCGAUGCCGCCAUGUCCGCUGCUGCUGCUCCUGUCUAUGCUCCUGUGACUGGUGCCGCCACUGCCGUACCUCCCCCCAGCCGCCAGCACCUGCUGCUGCGCGCGCCGCCCCGGCUGUAGGAGACAGCUGCGCGCCCCGGCUGCUGCAGGUGCGGCAGGGGCGGGCGCUGGUGCAGCUUGACGGGCCCAGGCGGCUAGCGGCAGUAGCUGCCGCAGACCGCCGCCAGCCCCGGUGGCAGCAGGUGCGGUGGCGGGAAGGAGGGGGCCGCCUUCGCUGAGCACUGCCGCCGCCGGGCCGCUGGUUGCGGAGCUGCACGCCAGGCCGCGGGCCACACCGCCGGCGGUCGCCGAGGGGCCGAGGCGCCCGGCGGUCCGAGCGGCGCGAGGCUGGGUCAGCGGUAUGCCGCAUGGGCCCACCCUAUGCCAUGUGCGUGCUGACGCUGGAGCAUUAUAGCUACUGCCUAAGCCAUGUCUACUCGCUGCGGUGCCGCGUCCGGACUGUAACAUUUUAGGCUCAGCAGGCUGAGGCCCACAGUGCCUUAUAGUAUGUAAGUGCUAACUGAUACUAUACAUGGAAGUAUAGACACAAUGAUCGGACUAAAGGAACAACGGGCCAGUCUGGUGCGCGGGCAAAUGAAGCUCUGUUAAACAAACUCUGACAAACAAGGGCACAAGGGCUUUUUGUAUAACGAUGUAUAAGCUGAGGAUUCAGCUGUGAGACUGAAUCCGCGGCUUGGCUCGCCAGCAUGUGCCCUCGCUCCGUACCAAGGCGACGCCUGGGGUGGCGGCAUGGCGCGGCUGACGUGCCCUUGCUGACCCUUUCGGUGAAGCAGGCAACCCAGCUUCAACUUGCGCCUGCGUACGACGCGCUCCGCGUGCGUCACUUGGCCUUCAUCCAAGAGGCCUACAGCGGCGCCGCGCCGCCAGCGGAAGCGAUUCAUGCGCUGCGGGCGGCCCUGGCGCGGCUGUGGGCUUUGGUGUGGGAGCCGCGACACAAGGAACCGCUCUGGCGUCUGGCAGUCAAUGGGUUCACGGGCUUUGGGAUGCUUGCGGCGUGGGCCGCAGAUGGACGCGUGGCGAAAUGCCCGUGUGGGACUCAGAUGACUGCUGGGGCUAGGGUUCAUCACUUCUGGGACUGUGUGGUGGCGGAAGCUCUGCGUGCUUUGAUGCGGGAGCGUGCGAAUGUGGACAUCACACGGAACCAGUUGUGGUUAGUACAGGCGCCACCAGGGCUAUCGCAGGCGGUGUGGGACAUCGUGUGCUUGGCUGCUGUGGCGGCCCUGGAAUACGGCCGACAGCAUUCUCGCGCCUGACAAUGAAGCGCAGUUACACGCCUCGUUCAUACGCUGCACUCGCUCUCGCGCCCUGGGACUAAGAUCACGUAUAGAAAAAGCUAUGAUCAUUCCGUGAUGCCAAUGCGUUGGGCCGAAAUCGCGCUGUCCGCGACGACGCAUAGGAUGCGUCACACUUUCCAGAGGACCCGUAGAUAGCUGUGCGGACUUCUGGUCACGGCUGGCUGCAGACCGGACUGCGGAGGCGGCUGUUGUGCGAAGGAUAGGUGUGGAGGUGAUUGCGGACUUCUGGUCACGGCUAGCUGCGUUUGUGAGUCUGCGUCGGCCUCCGCGCCGCUGGGACCUUGUCCCGAACCAGCACCCAUUCCUAGCGUCAGAUGAUGUUGGAGGGGUUAUCUUGGUAGGGCCAACAGCGGACUCGCCACCGGCCUCACCCUAGCUUGUCAGCUUAGGGACUCGCAAGAGGUAGUCUUAUGACGCCGACCCACGGCUUAGGUGAGCAGCGCUAGCGUUUGUGGUGAGCCGGGCCUGGGGUUCCUCCCCUCUCCGGAGGCGAGGAGCAUGGGGGUCAUUCGGGGAUCUCUCCUCGGGUGAGCGUGCGUGUCUCGUACGUUUUUGGGGCCCUGGCUUAGUCCACGGCUGUCGUCCCACAUGUAACCUCUAUCAGCUACGCACACGGCCCCGCUGGUGCCCCAGGCUAUCAGCGCCGCCCCUUCCGCCCCAGGCCUGCACCCGAUUCCCAUUACAGAUUCACUCCAUUAGAAGCAGCAGAUAGGAUUGCAUUGGAACGGCCCGAUGGCCAGGGCCGAGGUCGCUUUAUGCUCAUGAACUUGAUGUUAGCCUCGUGCUGGCUGUGCUGCCUCCACACAUCAGGAAGAAUACCGAUGGGCGUGAACCCCACCACAGACAUGCUGCACGUCGUAUUGCCAGCCAACCGGGCCCAGCCAUGGCCUGCUACACGCGCUGCAACCCCCGAAUUCCACCUCUGCCUCCGCCCCUUCCUUAACCUGUCCCCCACCGUCACGCCUGCUCGCCACGUCAGCCGCCACCAACACAGUGACACACACACGCCCCGGGCCACGGCCACUGCCACCGCUGACCCGUGGCCCUGCGCACCUACACACCAAACACAACACAUACAGCAUGCCACAAACUUGGCGCAUUUGACGCACCGUGUGUGCACGUGUCAAUACCUAGCUGGUAUGUGUGCGCUAACUCCACUCAUGCCACGCCCAUCACUGCACCCCGUGUAUGGCCGCCCCUGGGCCCCACGGCCGCUCACCUGCCUGACGGUCACCACAGAUGCCUACCGAACUGGGCACCGCACCAAACACACGCCACACAAAAGCCCAAAGCCCGUCGUGGCGCGCCCUAGCAUGUUGCUCUCAGUGCUCCAUAUACACACACGUAUGCUUGGCCCGGGCACAAGGAGUAACGGAACGCAAAUCACAAGACGUGUGCAUGUUUGUGUUGCAACCACUAACCCAGGUCACUGCUCCGCCCCCUUUCGUUCACUCGCUGCUGCACGGCUUCUGUGCCGCGCGCCUGCCGGUCCCCACCGCCUGCCCCCGCCUGCUGCCCGCGAGCAGGCCCCCGCCGCUGCCACUACCAUCACCACCACCACAUUCUACAGCUGCUGCCGACGAGUCCGCCUCCCCGGCCACCACCAACAAUCGCUUCGCAGAGACCGCGGCUGGCACCAACACCGCCCCGGGGUCACUGCCGCCGCCGCCGCCGCCGCCGCCUGCUGCCGGAGCCGCCGCCGCUUUCCGCUCAGUCCGCUUCCCACCCGCGGCCCGCCUGGGUGGCGCUGCCGCCUGCACCUGCUCCGGCGGCGGGGCCUCAACCGGUGGAGCAGGAGAAGGCGAGCCCGCCUGGCUGCUACGGCUUUGAAUUUGGCUGCUGCUGCGGCGCGCCCGGGGCGCUGACACGCGCUGCUGCUGUGGUGGUGGAGGCUGCGGCGCCAGAGGAGUUCCGUUUCCUCCGCCCUCGCCAGCACCGCCACCAGCGCCACUGCUGGGAAGCCGCUGCGCCUUUUCCGCUGAUUGCUGCCGGGCAGGGGCCACCACCUCAGCCUCCGCCGGUACCGUCCUUGCAGCUGCUGUUGCGCCCGAGGCCUCUCCCGCCCCACCGCCGCCGGCCGCCUCCUGCUUUGGAGCCUUUCUGCGGACAACGAGGAUGCGUCGUUUCUGGCUGCUGCUAGCUGUAGUGGUGGUGGUGGCGGUGGUGCUGCUAUUGGCAGUGUCCGGCUGCGGCUGAGCCGUCCGCUGCUGCUGGUGGCGAGGGGCGGCGGCGCUGCCUUUCCCUGCCGCUGUUCAUGACGAAGCGCCCGAUAGCAGAUCCUGCAGCUGCUGCAGCAGGUAGGCCUCCUGAGUGGAAGGCGUCCGCAGACCGUACCACUCCCAGUACGGCACACACAGCAGGCCGCCCUCCCCAAACGCCCGCCGCAGCUGCCGGUUGCGCAGGGCCGUGGACCCGAUUACCGCGGACGGGUCGUCCUUCCGGUGGGUGAGAAAGUGGUCUGGACCGUCCACCUCAAUGGCCACUCUCCGCCCGUCGCUCCAGUCCGCCACAAUAUCCACACGCCCCAGCACGCCCUCCACUACCACCUCCAUCCGCACCGAAACGAUGGGCAGGCGACCCUUCUGCAGCAGUCGCUGAAGCGCCUCUGCCACCUGCUCCUGCGUACUGCUGGUGGUCGACCCCGUCGCCCGCUUGGCAGAUACCGCCGCCUCCAUCGCGGCUAGCAGGUCGGGGCUGCGGGCAAGAGCCUCCGCCACCUCGCCGCCCAACUCAUGUUGCGCCUGCCAGAGCUGACGCAACUCCUCGGUCUGAAACUCCUCACGGCGCCGCACGGCCUCACGGACAAGCGCCGGGGCCAGCGCAGAGGCAGCCGG